UAAAAUGGAAUGAUGGGAAUUUAAACCUCUUCCAGAGUAUCAAUUGGAGGGCAAGUCUGGUGCCAGCAGCCGCGGUAAUUCCAGCUCCAAUAGCGUAUAUUAAAAUUGUUGCAGUUAAAAAGCUCGUAGUUGAAUUUCUGCUGCAUCGUCGCAUCUCUUGCUGAGUGCUUCGUUUCGGCUUAUUUCGGAUUGAUUUUUUCUUUCCGGAUGAUUACUUUGAGAAAAUUAGAGUGCUCAAAGCAGGCUUUUGCCUUGAAUAGUUUAGCAUGGAAUAAUAAAGUAGGACUUUGGUUCUAUUUUGUUGGUUUUAGGUACCAAAGUAAUGGUUAAUAGGAACAGUUGGGGGCAUUCGUAUUUAACUGUCAGAGGUGAAAUUCUUAGAUUUGUUAAAGACGAACUACUGCGAAAGCAUUUGCCAAGGAUGUUUUCAUUAAUCAAGAACGAAAGUUAGGGGAUCGAAGACGAUCAGAUACCGUCGUAGUCCUACCCAUAAACUAA
rnacentral:rRNA from 1 species